GACGAACGCUGGCGGCGUGCCUAAUACAUGCAAGUAGAACGCUGAAGGAGGAGCUUGCUCUUCUGGAUGAGUUGCGAACGGGUGAGUAACGCGUAGGUAACCUGCCUGGUAGCGGGGGAUAACUAUUGGAAACGAUAGCUAAUACCGCAUAACAGUAGAUGUUGCAUGACAUUUGCUUAAAAGGUGCAAUUGCACCACUACCAGAUGGACCUGCGUUGUAUUAGCUAGUUGGUGGGGUAACGGCUCACCAAGGCGACGAUACAUAGCCGACCUGAGAGGGUGAUCGGCCACACUGGGACUGAGACACGGCCCAGACUCCUACGGGAGGCAGCAGUAGGGAAUCUUCGGCAAUGGACGGAAGUCUGACCGAGCAACGCCGCGUAAGUGAAGAAGGGUUUCGGAUCGUAAAGCUCUGUUGUAAGAGAAGAACGAGUGUGAGAGUGGAAAGUUCACACUGUGACGGUAGCUUACCAGAAAGAGACGGCUAACUACGUG
rnacentral:rRNA from 1 species